UACGGAGGGUGCUAGCGUUGUUCGGAUUUAUUGGGCGUAAAGGGCGUGUAGGCGGAUCGGUAAGUCGAUAGUGAAAGCUCCACGGCUCAACCGGGAAAUUGCUGUCGAUACUGCCAGUCUUGAGGGCAUCAGAGGUGAGUGGAAUUCCUGGUGUAACGGUGGAAUGUUUAGAUAUCAGGAAGAACACCCGUGGCGAAGGCGACUCACUGGGAUGCACCUGACGCUGAGGCGCGAAAGCUAGGGGAGCGAACGGU
rnacentral:rRNA from 1 species